CGAUGGGGAGCUGGCUAACCUUAUUGCAGUCACGCUUCAUGCAUGUUUGCCUGGCGCUUCGGAUCACUUUGAAGCUGCGCGCUUGCGUUUCGCUUUUCCAAUUCCUUGCGCUUGAUACAGGCAAGGGGUG
rnacentral:ribozyme from 1 species